GCCCAAACCAUGGACACACACACACACACACACACACACACACACACAUACAGGACCCACAGGACAGGAGGGUAUUAGUGUCAACUGAAGGAUUAACAACACACACACACACACACACACACACACACACACACACACACACACACACACACACACACACACACACACACAGGCAGUUCCAACACUUCACACUCAAGGCCAUUUGGCAGAAGAAAGAAAUCCUUACAGUCAUAUUAAUCUCCCCUGCACACACACACACUCUAAAGAGGAGUGUAUUCUGACCAAGCAACUUUACUGAAUUAGUGUAUGGUAAAGAAUCAACCCCGAUGUAACACAUCCCAGAACACUUCAGCACAAAUGAGACACGACUCCUUUCACACACCCUCCGCGAGGAGGACAAGGAUGGACGGAUGGGUUUGCGCUGUCCUGGUGUGUGUACUCCUUACCUGUGGAGAAGUCUGGGGUGCAGAGUAUGAGCUGGGCGAUCACCCACGCUUCAUUUGCACCCCCAUUCCACCCGACGCUCCCUGUCCUUCAUCGGCUAGCACCGGGCACCGUGGUGACCGUCAUUAUGGAGAGCAUCAGGGCGAGCAUCACAGCAGGCACCACAGUGGACGGUACACUGGUUAUCACAGCGACUCGUUGUUUGGCGAAUCAGAUGAUGCCACGCCCACCAUCUUGCACCUGCGUGAGAGCCUGGUGCAACAGAAGGAGACCAUUCUGGACCAGAGGGAGACAAUUCGCGAGCUCACUUCCAAGCUGGCGCUCUGCCAGGGCCUCGGGCAUGGCCUGGGCGGACCCGAGCAUGGACACGCCCAGUACAGGCGUUACCACACCAACAGAGAGCACACGGGCGAUACUGGCGAGACAAUAAGCUUGUCCCACUCAAGCUCCCCGGAGCAGAUGAGCCACAUGCUGGAGACAUUAAAGGAGAGACUGGAAAACCUGCAGGUAAGAGAUAUGCAGAACACGUCCACGGCGUACUCCGUCUCUCUGAAGGAGCUUCUGCGGAGGAAGAUCGCCGCUCUCGAGCAGCGGCUGCUGCAUCACACGGAGUCCAUCGACGAUGUCAACCAUCCCCACGGUGACAACGAGGACGACGACGUUGACCACCACGACGGGCAACGUGAUGGUAACGACAAUCGCCAUGCCGAAGGGAGCCCCCCGGCAGCACACCACUCGCAGGAUCGAAGUACGACGCGUGACGAGCUGGACAAAGUGCUUAAGAAGCUCACCCACGGUUCAAGGACGAGAAGCAAAUCUUCCAGGAGCUUCCAGAUUGGCUUCCCCAUGCGCACCAACUACAUGUACAGCCGGGUCAAGCGAACGGUCAACCGUGAGAUGUAUGCCAUGACGCUGUGCAUGUGGCUGAAGGGCGGAGCCUCUGGUAUCGGCACGCCCUUUUCCUACUCCGUCCCCGGGCAAGCCAAUGAACUGGUGCUGAUUGAAUGGGGGGACAAGCCGAUGGAGCUACUCAUCAAAGACACAGCAGUGAUAUUACCCCUCUCGCUGCAUGAUGGGAAAUGGCACCACAUGUGUGUCACGUGGUUGGCACGGGAUGGCAUUUGGGAAGUUUAUCAGGACGGAGCAAAACGAGGUUCGGGGGAAAAUCUGAAUGCCUGGCAACCCAUAAAACCUGGAGGAGUAUUUAUUUUGGGGCAGGAGCAGGACUCCCUCGGCGGACGCUUCGACGCCACCCAGGCGUUUGUUGGCGAGAUCUCGGACCUGCAGCUUUGGUCUCACACGCUAACACACCAUGACAUCUACAGCCUCGCGUCCUGCCACGGUCACAUGACCGGUGACAUCAUAAGCUGGGCGGAAUCUGUGGUGGAGCUGCACGGGGGCAUCACCAAAUACCCGUUUGACCCCUGCCACUGAGGACCUCAUGCAGUGUCAGGGUGGGAACAGUGAUUCCGCCCAGUCACAUGGGUUAGGGGUGUGUCCCAAAUCGCUCAACUCGCUCCCUUUACACUACUCUGUAGAACCUGUUUGUGUAAUCUGUAUGAGAAAGAAAGAAAUGUAUUUGAACAGAAGUAGCUGAAACAGUAGCUAAAGGUGAACUGAAAAAAUACAGCAAUACCAAAGACGCUAAAGAGUUAGCAUGAGUCGACUGUUACUGAACUAGUUUUAUGUUCUUUUAUUUUUACCCCCAUUAAAACUUCUACUUCCUUUUAAGUGCCCUCUGAGUGCCCUCAGGGAUAAAGAGAUUAUACACUAUGUGGCCAAAAGUACUGGGACACCAUUUACUUUUCCACCCAUAUGUGCUUCGUCCCCAAACUGUGACCACACAGCUGUACAGGGAAAGAAGGAAAGAAAGAAUGAAAGAAAGAAAGAAAGAAAGAAAGAAAGAAAGAAAGAAAGAAAGAAAGAAAGAAAGAAAGAAAGAAAUGGAAAAAAGAAAUGGAAAAAAGAAAGGAAAGACAUACAGAAAGAAAAGAGAAAGAAAAAUAAAGGAUUCAAGUGAGGAAAUAAAAAAAAGAGAAAGAAAGGAAAAAAGAAAGAAAGAAUGAAAGAAGACAGGACAAGUAUCUGGCAUUUUCUGAUCGGUGUGAUAUUAUAAAGGGAGCAGAAGGGGGCGCCAGAGCGGCGUAGCAGAGUGCACUAGGUAGUGAUCCCUACACGCUGUAUUAUAUCGGCGUAGUGCACUAGGUAGUGAUCCCUACACGCUGUAUUAUAUCGGCGUAGUGCACUAGGUAGUGAUCCCUACACGCUGUAUUAUAUCGGCGUAGUGCACUAGGUAGUGAGGAAGUAACCCUGAGUCGCUUUUUUAUUAUUUUAUUUUUGUCUAUAAUUAUGAAUUUCACGGUUUUAAUAAAACGUAAAAAAAAAAAUUGUUAUUCGUGUGUUUAUGUUUUUGUUAUAAAAAAGCAGCAGGGGGCGCCAGAGCGGCAUGACAGAGUGAAAAAAAGAAAAAAGGAUAGAGGAAAAAAUAUUUGUAAAAAGA